rnacentral:rRNA from 1 species
GAUGAACGCUGGCGGCGUGCCUAAUACAUGCAAGUCGAGCGAACAGAUAAGGAGCUUGCUCCUUUGACGUUAGCGGCGGACGGGUGAGUAACACGUGGGUAACCUACCUAUAAGACUGGAAUAACUCCGGGAAACCGGGGCUAAUGCCGGAUAACAUUUAGAACCGCAUGGUUCUAAAGUGAAAGAUGGUUUUGCUAUCACUUAUAGAUGGACCCGCGCCGUAUUAGCUAGUUGGUAAGGUAACGGCUUACCAAGGCAACGAUACGUAGCCGACCUGAGUGGGAGAUCGGCCAAACUUGAACUGAGAAACGGUCCAGACUCCUAAGGGAGGCAGCAGUAGGGAAUCUUCCGAAAUGGGCGAAAGCCUGACGGAGCAACGCCGCGUGGGUGAUGAAGGUCUUCGGAUCGUAAAACUCUGUUAUUAGGGAAGAACAAAUGUGUAAGUAACUGUGCACGUCUUGACGGUACCUAAUCAGAAAGCCACGGCUAACUACGUG